rnacentral:rRNA from 1 species
AGAUGGCGACCGGCGCACGGGUGAGUAACACGUAUCCAACCUGCCGAUAACUCGGGGAUAGCCUUUCGAAAGAAAGAUUAAUACCCGAUGGCAUAAUUAGACCGCACGGUCUUAUUAUUAAAGAAUUUCGGUUAUCGAUGGGGAUGCGUUCCAUUAGGCAGUUGGUGAGGUAACGGCUCAUCAAACCUUCGAUGGAUAGGGGUUCUGAGGGGAAGGUCCCCCACAUUGGAACUGAGACACGGUCCAA